CCCGUCUCUGGGUGUGCUCAUUCAAGAUGUGCUCCUCUGUUUGCUCACAGCUGCCAGGUGAAUGCUCCCUUUGUAAUUGCUUUGCACUUGCACCUCUGUGCAGUGCCUCCUCUUUGCCUUCCAGCUGUUAAACACAUUUCUCUCCAGCUACGUUUUCCUUAUUCUUCAGGUGGAGAGCCCACUCUGUAAUAUUAAUUUGCCUUGCCUUUUUGCAUCUGCAGUGCAGAUGUAUCAGCUGUGUCUGAGCAAUUUGUAAUUGCCACAGGACAUAUCCAUUUCAAUACAAUUUUUUGAAAUGGGACUUUUAGAGAUUAUGAGCCUACACUUCUUUUCUUGUAAAGAAUUAUCACUUGACAGGAGAUAACAGAUUUCAAAUAAUUUAGAAUUCAAAAUGAAAUAAUGAAAUAAUCUGCUGCCUCUUUGCUCUAAUAAUUAUCCUUGCUUUGACAUUAGCAAUUCAUUUUCACUGUUGCUCUUAAACAUCUUGGAAAAGUAACCGCAAACUGGUUUUUUUUUUUGGUGCCCACGUUAAUUACUCUGUUGUCUCUUUACCUAUAUGAGUCAGCAAGAUGACUUGUUCAAUAGCCCUGUGUCUAGUUUAGUGCCUUUUCUAUACAAAUAGCUACACCAAACAGCACAUAAAUAGGAAGGUUUAGUACCACUUAAAUGUGUUGCAUUUGAACUCUUUGCUCCUUUGCUGCAGACUGUGCUCACUGCUUAGCUUUGACCACAUCUGAGUAAGACUAGAGUGGGAUUCAUUUCUCUUCUUCAUAAAAUUGCCUGCACCUCAGAACUGUUGCAGUUAUCUCGAUCACCUCUUCCUGCAAGUGGUCCAACAACAGCAGGAAGGGGUGGGUUUGGGCCCCGUUCAUCUGCUCCAGGAGGCCAAGCUCCAGAAGUGACCAAGUGAGAACAACAAUCAGAGAACUUCUCUGGGAGUGGGAGAGAAAGAGAAUCAGAUGAUCAGAGGAAAAACGUCCCAUUGCAAAGCCACCACAAGGCAACUAUGGAAAUUUGAAACAGAAACAAGAACUGAGGAUGAAAGUUAAAACCGGGUCAAAAUCUUGCUUUGUUUUCCUAUCUGAACCAAUAAGCUCAGCUGUAGCUCAUUCAUCCAGAGCAUGAGGCCAGAGGAGAGCAAAGACAGCAGCAGGAGCAGAGCUGUCCAUGCAGUAAGAGGGCAGGGUGAACGCACUGCAUGUUUCAUACUAUCCAGAGAUGAGCACUGAUUCAGAUGGAGAUCUUG
ensembl:lncRNA